rnacentral:rRNA from 1 species
CCUACGGGAGGCAGCAGUGGGGAAUAUUGGACAAUGGGGGCAACCCUGAUCCAGCCAUGCCGCGUGUGUGAAGAAGGCCCUCGGGUUGGAAAGCACUUUCAGUGAGGAAGAACGCCUGGUGGUUAAUACCCAUCAGGAAAGACAUCACUCACAGAAGAAGCACCGGCUAACUCCGUGCCAGCAGGCGCGGUAAUACGGAGGGUGCGAGCGUGAAUCGGAAUUACUGGGCGUAAAGCGCGCGUAGGUGGCUUGAUAAGCCGGUUGUGAAAGCCCCGGGCUCAACCUGGGAAAGGCAUCCGGAACUGUCAAGCUAGAGUGCAGAAGAGGAAGGUAGAAUUCCCGGUGUAGCGGUGAAAUGCGUAGAGAUCGGGAGGAAUACCAGUGGCGAAGGCGGCCUUCUGGACUGACACUGACACUGAGGUGCGAAAGCGUGGGUAGCAAACAGGAUUAGAUACCCUAGUAGUC